rnacentral:rRNA from 1 species
UACAGAGGUGGCAAGCGUUGUUCGGAAUUACUGGGCGUAAAGGGCGCGUAGGCGGUUCGUUAAGUCCUGUGUGAAAUCCCCCGGCUCAACUGGGGAACUGCACAGGAAACUAGCGGGCUUGAGUUCGGGAGAGGGAAGCGGAAGUCCGGGUGUAGCGGUGAAAUGCGUAGAUAUCCGGAGGAACACCGGUGGCGAAGGCGGCUUCCUGGACCGACACUGACGCUGAGGCGCGAAAGCUAGGGGAGCAAACGGG